AACGAACGCUGGCGGCAGGCUUAACACAUGCAAGUCGAGCGCCCCGCAAGGGGAGCGGCAGACGGGUGAGUAACGCGUGGGAAUCUACCCAUCUCUACGGAAUAACGCAUGGAAACGUGUGCUAAUACCGUAUACGUCCUUCGGGAGAAAGAUUUAUCGGAGAUGGAUGAGCCCGCGUUGGAUUAGCUAGUUGGUGGGGUAAAGGCCUACCAAGGCGACGAUCCAUAGCUGGUCUGAGAGGAUGAUCAGCCACACUGGGACAGAGACACGGCCCAGACUCCUACGGGAGGCAGCAGUGGGGAAUAUUGGACAAUGGGCGCAAGCCUGAUCCAGCCAUGCCGCGUGAGUGAUGAAGGCCCUAGGGUUGUAAAGCUCUUUCACCGGUGAAGAUAAUGAUGGUAACCGGAGAAGAAGCCCCGGCUAACUUCGUGCCAGCCGCCGCGGUAACAC
rnacentral:rRNA from 1 species